AGGAGCGUUCACGCUCACGUCAUAGUUUAUUUACUUGCAGUGUGACAAACUGCAUUAAUUAGACUGAUUCAUACAGUUUUCCACUACAUACCAAGUCACCGCGCUAUCAACAUACAUAUUUACGUUUUCUUCGCUUUUUAGACCCACAUUGUAAGUUUAAUGAUAGACGGAGCAAGAAAUGGGUUUGUGCCUUUCGUUCGACUGUGGGGACUGUGGUGAUUGUGCAGUCAAUCCUUGUUGCCUGGCUCUGAGUGCUUGUUGUCUAGUACCCUGCUGUUGUCCAAAUGCCUGUGGUCGGCAAGAUCCGCCACAGACCGUAAUCAUCCAGCAACCGCCUAUAAUUGUAGACCAACAACCGCCACCACCUGGUUAUCCUUAUCCUCCACCUGGAGGAUACCCUGGUUAUCCCCAUCAACAAUACCCCUACUCAUCGGAUCAAAUGAUGAGAUGAUCGGACUAAAAUAUAUUUAAAGUCUUCUUGUCUAAAUAAGGAUGGGUUGUAAUAUAUCGUGUCGUCCAUGCUGUUGCUGUUGCAUUCCGUGUUUAUGCUGCGAUUGUUGUCCGGACGAACCCCGACCACCUACCGUAGUGCAUCAUCACCAUGUCAUCCAAGUACCACCAGGCUACUCCACCAAUAGAAAUGACCCACCUCCGCCUUAUAGAUAGCAGUAAUUAAUAAAAACUAAUGCAUAAAAACGCAACUCUCGUAAUUGUUACGAAUCACGUAAAUUGCUUAAACACAAUCUUUAAUAUCAGUCAAUUGGUCUCUUUCAUAAUUUAAUGAUCAAUGAUCAUUUUGCAAAAAGUUCGAUACUUAAAAAGGGAAACAUUAAUUAAUCUAAGCUAUUUAUAGCGUAAUUACAAAAGUUUGUACAUUUUGACAUUUCAAUUAUUCUAUAAAUGCGUCAUAAAAUUUAGGUGAUUAUAUAUUAUAAUAAUAAUAUCUAAUCGUACUUGUACUUAUUUUAAUUAGUUGUUGUAAAUUUACAUUAAUAUUUUAAUUUAUGUACGAUACUUCCAAAUUAUGUAUAACCAUGUAAAUUCCCCUAAGCCUAUAUAUACUUUUUGUGAUGUUGGUGUUAUGUUAUAUAUAAUGUUUAUACUAUAAACGAUAAGUAUAUGACGUUAACUGUUUUAAUGUAUUCUUUAUUAU